CCUACGGGAGGCAGCAGUAGGGAAUUUUCGGCAAUGGGGGGAACCCUGACCGAGCAACGCCGCGUGAACGAAGAAGUAUUUCGGUAUGUAAAGUUCUUUUAUUGGAGAAGAAAGAGAAAUUUGACGGUAACCAAUGAAUAAGCUCCGGCUAACUACGUGCCAGCAGCCGCGGUAAUACGUAGGGAGCGAGCGUUAUCCGGAAUUAUUGGGCGUAAAGGGUGCGUAGAUGGUUGAUAUAAGUCUUUUGUAAAAAUGCUAGGCUCAACCUAGUAGGGCAAAAGAUACUGAUGAACUAGAGUACGGCA
rnacentral:rRNA from 1 species